rnacentral:rRNA from 1 species
AGAGCGAACGCUGGCGGCGUGCUUAACACAUGCAAGUCGAGUGCGCGUCCGUAGCAAUACGGAUGGCGCACGGCGCACGGGUGCGUAACACGUGGGCAAUCUGCCCUCGGAUGGGGGAUAACUCGCCGAAAGGCGAGCUAAUACCGCAUGACAUUCCCGGGACUCCGGUCCUGGGACUCAAAGGCCGCAAGGCCGUCUGAGGAGGAGCCCGCGCCCGAUUAGCUAGUUGGUGGGGUAACGGCCCACCAAGGCGUCGACGGGUAGCUGGUCUGAGAGGACGAUCAGCCACACUGGGACUGAGACACGGCCCAGACUCCUACGGGAGGCAGCAGUGGGGAAUCUUGCGCAAUGGGCGAAAGCCUGACGCAGCAACGCCGCGUGCGGGAUGAAGGCCUUCGGGUUGUAAACCGCUUUCAGCGAGGGACGAAAAGUGACGGUACCUGCAGAAGAACGCCCGGCCAACUACGUGCCAGCAGCCGCGGU